GGGGCAUUACUGGUUUCGACAGGACGAUCAAACCGACCUUGUGAUUCAGGCCGAGAGUAGAGUGAGCCUCCUCUCGAAAAUCAAAGGUUCAAAAAAAAUGUAAGUGCGAACAACGUCGUACCUUUCGCUCGCGUUAAAGCCGCUGUUGCUUAAUAACGAAUACCUCCUAUAGGUUCGAGCACUCACGGUUUGACUCCGUUAAGUUAAGGACUGUGGGUUAAACCCCAACGGAUGCUUCGGUUAAGCGUUCUCUGGUAGCUUAACUGAAAAAGACUCUACUAGAGAAUCCUACCGUCAGGGAUAAGUGACGGUUCCCGCCCCGCCCUAAGGAUUAGAGGGGCUAUGUCUGUGAACGAGCAGGGCGUAAAUAGUCGUUUUGGACAUGGGUUCGAUUCCCAUAUGCUCCAUU
rnacentral:tmRNA from 1 species